rnacentral:rRNA from 1 species
UACGUAGGGCGCAAGCGUUAUCCGGAAUUAUUGGGCGUAAAGAGCUCGUAGGCGGUGUGUCACGUCGUUCGUGAAAACCUGCAGCUUAACUGUGGGCGUGCGGUCGAUACGGGCAUCACUGGAGUUCGGCAGGGGAGACUGGAAUUCCUGGUGUAGCGGUGAAAUGCGCAGAUAUCAGGAGGAACACCGGUGGCGAAGGCGGGUCUCUGGGCCGAUACUGACGCUGAGGAGCGAAAGCGUGGGGAGCGAACAGG